rnacentral:rRNA from 1 species
CUAUACUGCAGUCGAGCGGACAGAUGGGAGCUUGCUCCCUGAUGUUAGCGGCGGACGGGUGAGUAACACGUGGGUAACCUGCCUGUAAGACUGGGAUAACUCCGGGAAACCGGGGCUAAUACCGGAUGGUUGUUUGAACCGCAUGGUUCAGACAUAAAAGGUGGCUUCGGCUACCACUUACAGAUGGACCCGCGGCGCAUUAGCUAGUUGGUGAGGUAACGGCUCACCAAGGCGACGAUGCGUAGCCGACCUGAGAGGGUGAUCGGCCACACUGGGACUGAGACACGGCCCAGACUCCUACGGGAGGCAGCAGUAGGGAAUCUUCCGCAAUGGACGAAAGUCUGACGGAGCAACGCCGCGUGAGUGAUGAAGGUUUUCGGAUCGUAAAGCUCUGUUGUUAGGGAAGAACAAGUGCCGUUCAAAUAGGGCGGCACCUUGACGGUACCUAACCAGAAAGCCACGGCUAACUACGUGCCAGCAGCCGCGGUAAUACGUAGGUGGCAAGCGUUGUCCGGAAUUAUUGGGCGUAAAGGGCUCGCAGGCGGUUUCUUAAGUCUGAUGUGAAAGCCCCCGGCUCAACCGGGGAGGGUCAUUGGAAACUGGGGAACUUGAGUGCAGAAGAGGAGAGUGGAAUUCCACGUGUAGCGGUGAAAUGCGUAGAGAUGUGGAGGAACACCAGUGGCGAAGGCGACUCUCUGGUCUGUAACUGACGCUGAGGAGCGAAAGCGUGGGGAGCGAACAGGAUUAGAUACCCUGGUAGUCCACGCCGUAAACGAUGAGUGCUAAGUGUUAGGGGGUUUCCGCCCCUUAGUGCUGCAGCUAACGCAUUAAGCACUCCGCCUGGGGAGUACGGUCGCAAGACUGAAACUCAAAGGAAUUGACGGGGGCCCGCACAAGCGGUGGAGCAUGUGGUUUAAUUUCGAAGCAACGCGAAGAACCUUACCAGGUCUUGACAUCCUCUGACAUCCUAGAGAUAGGACGUCCCCUUCGGGGCAGAGUGACAGGUUGUUGCAUGGGUGUCGUCAGCUCGUGUCGUGAGAUGUUGGGUUAGUCCCGCAACGAGCGCACCC